rnacentral:rRNA from 1 species
GCGGCCUAUCAGCUUGUUGGUGAGGUAAUGGCUCACCAAGGCAACGACGGGUAGCCGGCCUGAGAGGGCGACCGGCCACACUGGGACUGAGACACGGCCCAGACUCCUACGGGAGGCAGCAGUGGGGAAUAUUGGGCAAUGGACGCAAGUCUGACCCAGCGACGCCGCGUGCGGGAUGAAGGCCUUAGGGUUGUAAACCGCUUUCAGCAGGGAAGAAGCGAAAGUGACGGUACCUGCAAAAGAAGCACCGGCUAACUAUGUGCCAGCAGCCGCGGUAAUACAUAGGGUGCAAGCGUUGUCCGGAAUUAUUGGGCGUAAAGAGUUCGUAGGUGGUUCGUUACGUCGGAUGUGAAAAUCUGGGGCUCAACCCCAGACCUGCAUUCGAUACGGGCGAGCUAGAGUUUGGUAGGGGAGACUGGAAUUCCU